UGGGCUCUUCAGAAUUCCCGGUGUCAUUUC
rnacentral:piRNA from 1 species